AAGAAAUUCGGAUUAAUACCGCAUAAAACAGGGGCACCGCAUGGUGAUAUUUGUUAAAAAUUUAUUGGUAGUAGAUGGGCAUGCGUUCCAUUAGCUAGUUGGUAAGGUAACGGCUUACCAAGGCAACGAUGGAUAGGGGAACUGAGAGGUUGAUCCCCCACACUGGGACUGAGACACGGCCCAGACUCCUACGGGAGGCAGCAGUGAGGAAUAUUGGUCAAUGGACGAGAGUCUGAACCAGCCAAGUCGCGUGAAGGAUGAAGGUUCUAUGGAUUGUAAACUUCUUUUGUACAGGGGUAAAAAACGGGACGUGUCCUGUCUUGCAAGUACUGUACGAAUAAGCAUCGGCUAACUCCGUGCCAGCAGCCGCGGUAAUACGGAGGAUGCGAGCGUUAUCCGGAUUUAUUGGGUUUAAAGGGUGCGUANGCGGUUUAUUAAGUCAGCGGUGAAAGUUUGAGGCUCAACCUUAAAAUUGCCGUUGAAACUGGUAGACUUGAGUAUAGAUGAAGUANGCGGAAUUAGUGGUGUA
rnacentral:rRNA from 1 species